rnacentral:misc_RNA from 1 species
GAUGAAGAACGCAGCGAAAUGCGAUAAGUAGUGUGAAUUGCAGAAUUCCGUGAAUCAUCGAAUCUUUGAACGCACAUUGCGCCCUUUGGUAUUCCUUAGGGCAUGCCUGUUCGAGCGUCAUUUAAACCUUCAAGCUAAGCUUGGUGUUGGGUGACUGUCCGCUUCACUGCGGACUCGCCUCAAAAUUAUUGGCGGCCGGUACAUUGGCUUCGAGCGCAGCAGAAACGCGAACUCGGGCCCGUCGUAUUGGCUCCCAGAAGCUAUCUUCACAAUUUUGACCUCGGAUCAGGUAGGGAUACCCGCUGAACUUAAGCAUAUCAAUAAGCGGAGGA